rnacentral:rRNA from 1 species
CCUACGUGAGGCAGCAGUGGGGAAUUUUGCGCAAUGCUCGUAAGAGUGACGCAGCGACGCCGCGUGAAUGACGAAGGCCUUCGGGUCGUAAACUUCUAUCAGCAGGGAAGAAAAUGACGGUACCUGACUAAGAAGCCCCGGCUAACUACGUGCCAGCAGCCGCGGUAAUACGUAGGGGGCAAGCGUUAUCCGGAUUUACUGGGUGUAAAGGGAGCGUAGGCGGGAGAGCAAGUCAGACGUGAAAUUCCAGGGCUCAACCCUGGAACUGCGUUUGAAACUGUUCUUCUUGAGUGAUGGAGAGGCAGGCGGAAUUCCGUGUGUAGCGGUGAAAUGCGUAGAUAUACGGAGGAACACCAGUGGCGAAGGCGGCCUGCUGGACAUUAACUGACGCUGAGGCGCGAAAGCGUGGGGAGCAAACAGGAUUAGAUACCCCUGUAGUC